rnacentral:rRNA from 1 species
GACGAACGCUGGCGGCGUGCUUAACACAUGCAAGUCGAACGGAAAGGCCCCUUUGGGGGUACUCGAGUGGCGACCGGGUGCGUACCACGUGAGUAACCUGCCCUUGACUUCGGGAUAACUUCAGGAAACUGGGGCUAAUACCGGAUAGGAAUCCUUGCUGCAUGGUGGGGGUUGGAAAGCUUGGGCGGUUUUGGAUGGACUCGCGGCUUAUCAGCUUGUUGGUGGGGUAGUGGCUUACCAAGGCUUUGACGGGUAGCCGGCCUGAGAGGGCGACCGGCCACAUUGGGACGGAGAGACGGCCCAGACUCCUACUGGAGGCAGCAGUGGGGAAUAUUGCACAAUGGGCGGAAGCCUGAUGCAGCAAGGCCGCGUGCGGGAUGACGGCCUUCGGGUUGUAAACCGCUUGCAGCAGGGGCGAAGCUUGUGGUGACGGUACCUGCAGAAGAAGCACCGGCUAACUACGUG